rnacentral:rRNA from 1 species
GGACGAACGCUGGCGGCGUGCUUAACACAUGCAAGUCGAACGGAGAGGCCCUGCUUUUGUGGGGUGCUCGAGUGGCGAACGGGUGAGUAACACGUGAGUAACCUGCCCUUGACUUUGGGAUAACUUCAGGAAACUGGGGCUAAUACCGGAUAGGAGCUCCUGCUGCAUGGUGGGGGUUGGAAAGUUUCGGCGGUUGGGGAUGGACUCGCGGCUUAUCAGCUUGUUGGUGGGGUAGUGGCUUACCAAGGCUUUGACGGGUAGCCGGCCUGAGAGGGUGACCGGCCACAUUGGGACUGAGAUACGGCCCAGACUCCUACGGGAGGCAGCAGUGGGGAAUAUUGCACAAUGGGCGGAAGCCUGAUGCAGCAACGCCGCGUGCGGGAUGACGGCCUUCGGGUUGUAAACCGCUUUCGCCUGUGACGAAGCGUGAGUGACGGUAAUGGGUAAAGAAGCACCGGCUAACUACGUG